AGCAGCCGCGGUAAUUCCAGCUCCAAUAGCGUAUAUUAAAGUUGUUGCAGUUAAAAAGCUCGUAGUUGAAUUUCGGGAUCAGUAGGUCGGUCGUGCCACUGGUAUGAACUGGUCUCACUGGUUCCUCCCUCUUGACGAACUGCAAUGCUAUUAAUUUAGUGUAGUAGGAAAUCAGGACUGUUACUUUGAAAAAUUAGAGUGUUUAAAGCAGGCUUUGGCUUGAAUACAUUAGCAUGGAAUAAUGAAAUAGGACGUUCGAUCCUAUUUUGUUGGCUUCUAGGAUUGACGUAAUGAUUAAUAGGGACAGUUGGGGGCAUUAGUAUUCAAUUGUCAGAGGUGAAAUUCUUGGAUUUAUUGAAGACUAACUACUGCGAAAGCAUUUGCCAAGGAUGUUUUCAUUAAUCAAGAACGAAAGUUAGGGGAUCGAAGACGAUCAGAUACCGUCGUAGUCUUAACCAUAAACUAUGCCGACUAGGGAUCGGAUGAUGUUAAUUUUUAAUGACUCAUUC
rnacentral:rRNA from 1 species